rnacentral:lncRNA from 1 species
CCCCUAGAGCAAUGAGCAUUCGCGCGCACGGUCCCCGCAAACCUCCCCAGAGCGCGCGCGUGACUCACCCGAACCGCGGAGCCAGGCGGCGAGGACUAUGCCCAGGAGCGCUGGCCACAGGCCGGACAGGACGGCCAUGGCCGCGGGCAGGCGGGCGGGCCGGGCGCGGGGCCCCGCAGACAGGAGGACGCCUUUCAGCGCCUCAGCCCAGAGCCCCGGCCCCGGGCACCCCCGGGGCCCAUGCCAGCGGACUGCGCUGCCUCCCGGCGGCCGGCUGCGGGGCGCACGCGGCGCGUGCCUCCCUUGGGCACCGGGAGCGCAGCAAUGCAGCCGGGGCGGAGCGCAGCGCCAGCCGCGCCGCGCACAGAGCCAGCCGCCGCGCGGAGCCCGCAGCCGGGGAGCGGGCCGGCGGGCGCCGCAAAACCCGGACUGGAGCAACGGAACUGGGCGGCGUCAGGGCGGGGCGGGGGAAGGAAGGAGGGGCCCAGAAGCCCCGCGCCGCGCGAACGGGCCACCCCCAGCUCUGGGGAUCCCUCUCGGCGUUGCCCGAGGCUCCCCCAGGGAGGGGCUGGGGUGGUGGGCGGGAGGCCUCCCACCUCCCUGUGCGAUCUCCAGGGACCGGCCAAAAGUCUGAAACCCGGAGUGGAUCGAUUCUCCGGAUCCGGGUUCUCCCGGGCCCACCAGCCAGCGCACAGGUGGCCCGGGAGGGGCCCAAGGCUGCAGCGAUCCCGGCGCGGCGCCAGGCUGCAGACAGCGGCCAGGGACAGCGGUGCCUGGCGGCAGUUCCGCGCAGCCCUCUACCCCCACCUCACCACACACCUUUCCAGAAAUAGGUCUUACUCUUCCAGGCACUCUGGCUGCUUGCUGCCCCCCAGGCAUGGCCGUGAUUGCUUGUUGAGCUCACGCUGCUCUGCUCCUGGAAUGCCCCCAUCGGCUUGACUGUGCUCCUACACGUGAGGCCACUUCACUCCCUGGUCAGCCUGGGAAGUGGACACACCUCCAUCUGUUCUGCAACAGCAAACAAGCUUUCUGAGAGUCCAGAAGACCCGUCUAAGCCCACAGAUUUAUGGGAAAAGGGUGGAGAAUCCAAUCCUGGACCCCUUUCCCAGUUCUGGGAUCCCUGUUCCUGAUCCCACUUGUGGAAUCACUGCAAGGGUCACACUAAAUACUCUCCUUUGGGAAGUGCCCCUCCGAGCGUCCUGAGGAAAUGGGCGGGAUCAUCUUUGAGGGUCACACCCCUUGACUUUGGGCAGGUUUCUGGCAGGAGACAGAAGGCCACUUCAGUCAUAUAGGACUAAAGGCUGGAACUCUGAGGAGACUUUAGUGAGGGUCUAUGCAGGUGGGGUGAUGAGAGAAGCCACAGUGGGAGUGGCAGCGCCAGACACGGGAGAGAACAGUGUGACCAGAGCUGGAAGGGCCGUCCACAGGAGCCCAGGAUGCAGCCACUGACAGGACCACCUCCCAGGCAGGCAGGGAGAAGGAAGAAAUACCCUGGCCUCUCUCUCUGCCCACCCUCCUGUCUGCCAUGGGGGCGGCUCAUUGGCUGCACCCACCUGUUAGCCAGAGAACUAGGGAGCCUGACUGUGUGGUCAUUCGUGGCUCAGCCUCCCAGGCUCAAAGCUGAGAGAGAUGGGUACGGGGAGGAGCAGAGGGCUGGGGGGUGGGUGGGAGGGUCCCGUAUUGGUUUCUGAUUGCUGCUGUUAAGAAAUCACCACCAACUUUGUGUCUCAGAGCAACACACCUUUCUCCCUUACAGUUCUGAAGGUCAGAGGUGAAGAUGAGUCUCACCUGCUAAAAUCUCGAUGUCAGCAGCAUUGCAUUCCUUUCUGGGCUGUAAGGGAAAAUCUCUUUCUCUGCUUUUUCCAGCUUCCGGAAGCUGCCUGCACUCUUUGGCUUGUGGUCCCUUCCUGCAUCUUCAGAGCCGGAAACAGCCUGUCCAGCUUCACGUGGCCAUCUCUCUGGCUGACUCUCUGCCUGUCUCUCCCCCACAGGAACCCAGUGUGCUUCUCAGUUACCAUUUCCUUUCAAGUGUGCUAAUAUAUUUGUCCCUACUCCCCCGCACUGUGUUAGUUUCCUAGGGCUGCUCAGUAGCAAAGUAUGUCAAACCAGGUGACUUAAACAACAGGAAUUUAUGGUCUCACAGUCCAGAGGCCGCACGUCCAAGAUCAAGGUGUAGCACAGCUGGUUCCUUCUGAGGGCUAUGGAGACCCUCUGUUUCACGCCCCUCCCCUGGCUUCUGGAGGCCUCCGGUAUUCUUGUAGAUGGUGUUCUACCUGUGUCUUCACAUUGUCUGUGUCCAAAUUUCUGCUUUUCAUAAGGACACAGUCGGAUUGGGGCCCACCCUAAUGACCUCAUCGCAACAUGAUUACCUCUGUAAUAACCCUGCUUUCAAAUAAGCUAACAUCACGAGGCACUGGGGAUUAGGACCCCAACAUAUUUGUGGAGAGGAGACACAACUCUACCCAUAGCAUCCACCCUGUCCCCUCAUGGCCUUAAUUAUGUAUUCUGCCUGGCUGCCCCUGCUGUUA